rnacentral:rRNA from 1 species
GGUCAAGUGAAGAAGCGCAUACGGUGGAUGCCUUGGCAGUCAGAGGCGAUGAAAGACGUGGUAGCCUGCGAAAAGCUUCGGGGAGUCGGCAAACAGACUGUGAUCCGGAGAUGUCUGAAUGGGGGAACCCAGCUGUCAUAAGACAGUUAUCUCAUGCUGAAUACAUAGGCAUGAGAGGCGAACCAGGGGAACUGAAACAUCUAAGUACCCUGAGGAAAAGAAAUCAACCGAGAUUCCCUUAGUAGUGGCGAGCGAACGGGGACCAGCCCUUAAGUUGGUUUGAGAUUAGCGGAACGCUCUGGAAAGUGCGGCCAUAGUGGGUGAUAGCCCUGUACGCGAAAAUCUCUUGUCAAUGAAAUCGAGUAGGACGGGGCACGAGAAACCUUGUCUGAAUAUGGGGGGACCAUCCUCCAAGGCUAAAUACUACUGACUGACCGAUAGUGAACUAGUACCGUGAGGGAAAGGCGAAAAGAACCCCGGAGAGGGGAGUGAAAUAGAUCCUGAAACCGUAUGCGUACAAGCAGUGGGAGCCCACUUUGUUGGGUGACUGCGUACCUUUUGUAUAAUGGGUCAGCGACUUAUAUUCAGUGGCGAGCUUAACCGAAUAGGGGAGGCGUAGCGAAAGCGAGUGUUAAUAGCGCGUUUAGUCGCUGGGUAUAGACCCGAAACCGGGCGAUCUAUCCAUGGGCAGGUUGAAGGUUGGGUAACACUAACUGGAGGACCGAACCGACUACCGUUGAAAAGUUAGCGGAUGACCUGUGGAUCGGAGUGAAAGGCUAAUCAAGCUCGGAGAUAGCUGGUUCUCCUCGAAAGCUAUUUAGGUAGCGCCUCAUGUAUCACUGUAGGGGGUAGAGCACUGUUUCGGCUAGGGGGUCAUCCCGACUUACCAAACCGAUGCAAACUCCGAAUACCUACAAGUGCCGAGCAUGGGAGACACACGGCGGGUGCUAACGUCCGUCGUGAAAAGGGAAACAACCCAGACCGUCAGCUAAGGUCCCAAAAUCCUGGUUAAGUGGGAAACGAUGUGGGAAGGCUUAGACAGCUAGGAGGUUGGCUUAGAAGCAGCCACCCUUUAAAGAAAGCGUAAUAGCUCACUAGUCGAGUCGGCCUGCGCGGAAGAUGUAACGGGGCUCAAACCAGGUACCGAAGCUACGGGUAUCACCUUAGGGUGAUGCGGUAGAGGAGCGUUCUGUAAGCCUGUGAAGGUGAGUUGAGAAGCUUGCUGGAGGUAUCAGAAGUGCGAAUGCUGACAUGAGUAACGACAAUGGGUGUGAAAAACACCCACGCCGAAAGACCAAGGUUUCCUGCGCAACGUUAAUCGACGCAGGGUUAGUCGGUCCCUAAGGCGAGGCUGAAAAGCGUAGUCGAUGGAAAACAGGUUAAUAUUCCUGUACUUCUGGUUAUUGCGAUGGAGGGACGGAGAAGGCUAGGCCAGCUUGGCGUUGGUUGUCCAAGUUUAAGGUGGUAGGCUGAGAUCUUAGGUAAAUCCGGGAUCU